ensembl:lncRNA
GCACACAACUAUUCCGCGGCUGGCCACUGUCCGCGCGCUCCCGCAGCUUCGUCCCCGAUUACUCGCCGGUUGCACGGGACUCGAUCAGCUGACGGAGACACGUUCCCCUCCCUGCCCGGAGUCACCUGGAGUCCGGCGUGCUUCCCACCCGUUCCCUAGCAGCCGCGCCUUUUGAUUGGGUGUCAGGUUCACCGUGAGCGACAUCAUUGGCUGCAACGCCUGUCGUUCCUGUGCUUGGCCCCAGCUUUUAAGGGGGCAGCGCGGGACCGAGAGGGCCGGGAAUCGGCGACGGCGUGGGGGCCGGGGUCGGGGGUUCUGGGGUUGCAGAGGCCUCGUGCCACGUCAGCCCCCGCCCCCAGGCUGGCAGUGAGCCGCGCGCCGCAGCUCCGGGCCGCGGCGCCAACGGCCUCGCGCGAUCUGCGCGUGCGCACUAGCUCAGUCGCGCGCCCUCCAGGCGGUGGGCAAGGCGGCGGGCUAGUGGGCAAGGGUGGUAGGGUGGCAGGGUGGGAGGGUGGGGGAGGGCUGGGUGGGAGGGUGGGAGGGUGGGGGAGGGCUGGGGGAGGGAAUGGGGAGCAGGGGUGGGUGGUGGGCCAGGGACGAGGGUGAGGGGUAAUGUCUGUGGAGAAAGGGGUUCCGUUAGACUAUUCGCUCUGGGGUAUGAGGGAUGUGCGGGGUAAGCAGCCCAGAGCAGUGAGGGGACGCGGCAAGGCCCGAGGCCAGGCCCGGGGUCACGGGCGGUCGCACCUGGAGCCAGGAAGCAGAGGGGCGCAGAUUCAGCGAGAAACAUUGUGGGUGCCCUGGAACGGGCUCAUUGUGAUCGGGAAGAGAAUGGAGCUCCUGGGUAGAAAUACACAAAAGCCUAGGAUGUGGGGCCCCAAGCUUGACUCUGAGAACUGGAGACUGGACGGUGUGGAAAAGAGGGCCUUGAAAGAGAAGUCAGGCCAGAGUCAGGAAAGGAUGGAUGUGAAGCUACUGCCCAAUGUAGCAGGUGCAUCACAGGCUUCAGCAGGUUUGGGGGAAAACAGCCCAAGGGAGAUGUGGGGAAAGCAAGAACUCAGAGGCAAAAUAGGCGCUGAAUCUGAAGGUGCAGGCACUACAGCAGGGUCUAGGAUGGGGUCUGGUUUUAAAGACAGGUUGAAGGUUACUGGGGUACGGACCAGCGGAGAGGACUUGAGAUCCAGGGGAUAUACACUAGGGCAGAAUGAGGAGGAGCUGAGGUCCGGUGGCGAGAAGUUGAGGUCAAGUAGAGAGAGGCUGAGGUCAAGUGGAGGGAAGCUGAGUCUGACUGGAGGGAAGCUGGGGUCAAGUGGAGAGAACCAGGGAUCCCGGGGAGAGAAGCUGGGAACUAGUGGGGAGGAUUUGAGAUCCACUGGAGAUAAACUGCAGUCAAGUGCAGAAAAGCUGGGGCCUAGUGGAGAGAAGCUGGAGGAUUCAGGAAUGGGGAGCAUAAAUGAAGAGAGUAUUGAAAGGUUGGUAGAAGUUACUGGUGCCGAGAUGGAAAUUCCUGUUGAAAGAGUGGAAGGGAGUGAUGAGCUCGAAGGGGCUAAGGAGGCGGGAAUUGAGGAGGAUGUCUUGGAUGGGAAGAAUGCGUCGUGA